rnacentral:tRNA from 2 species
GCGCCCGUAGCUCAGCUGGAUAGAGUACCUGGCUACGAACCAGGUGGUCGGAGGUUCGAAUCCUCCCGGGCGCA